CCCAUUGAUUUGCCACCCCUUUAAGCCUAAAUUGAAUCAUUCACAGUAUGUUACCUUCACUUAGGGAGUUUUUCUCUUGAAUUGAAUCCUUAAAUGUGCUAAGGUCAAGGGAAAUAAAAAUACAAAUACAUGCAAACACAAAGCUAGUGUAACUCCCUAUGAGCUGAUUUGCCCAAAUUAUCAUAAAAAACCAGCACAAAGCACAAAUCUCAAACUUGUUCCAAUGGUCUAAAACUAUGAACUGAGCCUAAUAGCCACUUGGAGAAGUAACUGACUGAGUAACCGGGGGUGUAUCACCCAUGUACACAAUCGCGUAAAAAGGUCAGUAACUUUUUCAAGCGAAUAAGUUUCGAUGGUCUAGACUAUGAACAGAGCUAGUAGCAACUUGAACAAUUGACUAACUGAGUAACCGGGGGUGUAUCACCCAUGUACACAAUCGCAUAAAAAGGUUAGUGACUUUUUCAGGCAAGGAUAAGAAUAAGUGCUGCUGAAAAUAAAAAUAUAAAUUAAAUAAAAAGGAGAAAGAGAGAAGGUGGCAGGUCACUCCUAGGGGUUACAU
rnacentral:lncRNA from 1 species